AUAUUUAAUAAUAUUUAAUCAUUUUGUGCUGAUGCAUUUUAUCUUCUGUGAUAUUUUAUUAUUUUCUAAACUUUUGACACAUUAGCUUGUAGCAUCUCAUUAGCAAUGUCAGAAAACUGCCUAGAAUGUUUUUUAAAUGGAAUUCCUUUAAACACCCACUCUGAUGGAGAACGUUUUUGUGGGAUUUUUCAGAUAAUGAAAGAUAUUAUUGAAAUUCGAGCUUAAAAUUGCAUUUUUGAGUAUUGUUUAUUAAAAUUACUGAGAGUCAGGAACAGACGAGCAAAUAUUUGAAAAUAAACGUAGAGAAUACGCUGAGCUCCAUGCUCCGAACUCUCAGCAAUAGAGAGGGGAAGGGGGGCGGGAUUACUCGGUGCCAACAGACCUGCCCACAACUCAAAGGCAUUUUUCUAAUGCCGCUCUGCAGAAACUAUGUCCUACAAAAUUUUUUUUUUUUUUUUUUUUUUGAGCUGAAAAUGACAAAAUCAAAAUUCACAGACUACUUGGUUGGAGCUUUAAAGGGUUAAUAUACCUGAACUAUCACACCUUUCCUUCAAUCUGGAUUUAUUACAAUUGUUUUUAAAGGAAAACAUUCUAGAUUAUUGGAAAUCGUUGGCAGUGGUUUGCAGUUGUCAUAUUUGGUAAAGUUGUUCGGGGGUUUCAGACAAACCUUUUUUCAUUUCAUAACUACAAGAAUUCCAGUAAGUCUCAUGUUUUUCAGGCUUUAACACACAAAAAGGAACUCUCUGUUGCAUUUCUGCUCUGGGCUCAUAAAGAAUAGAUGCAGCUUAAUAUAUUUUUCAUCGGGCGGUUGUACUGUAAUUCCAUCAGCGGAGGCUUUACGUUUCCAGAAUGCAGAACACUGAAGGUUUGAGAGCUGGAGCUGCUCCAGUGGGAAGUAAUUGUAUUUUCUCUUGAUUUAUGAUGUUUGUACCUGAUCAAGUUCAAGAAAAAGAAGCGUAAACAUUAUUUCAAUGCCGAGACGAGAAGUUUUUAAGUCCAUCUGGAUCGUUGAAGGUGCGUUUGUCCGGCUGUAGAAUAGAAGCGGCUGCAUGAAAUUUUCAUGUGCCCUCGCUCGGAAGGGCAGGCGGAUCUGUUAGAGUGAGUCCUGUGGGACGUGCGGCUCGGCGUGACCCGCCAGCGUCCUUCACCAUAGCUGGACUCGGCCCCCGGGGUCCCCAGGCCGCAGCGUCCCGCUUUAUUCCACCUCCUGACACCGGCUCUGUGUGAUGAGCAUUGUAUCAGAGCCCAAACUGCUGCUGCAGAUGAAACCUUCAUUCAAAAACGGUUCACUGAACCGCAAGAAAUGAGCAACUUAGCCGUCCAUAUGUGGAAUAAAGAACAAGCUAGCGCAGGCUAAUGCUAAUUCUCAUUUAACAAUCAGAGGUUCUGCUCUUAGGGAUGUUAGUGAUGGAAAAACACAAGAAAAUAAGUGAAGUCUGUCCUUUUUUUACAUUUUACAACCAACUGUUGCUAAUUUGCAACAUACGACCAUUGACUGUAUAUGAGAACUGAACUGGGUAAGUGUGACAUCACUCAAUGAAAAUGUCUCCAGCCAAAUAAAGUCUAUUCAGUCAUAAGUUUACGUGAUACGGUUCUCAGUAAGCAGUGAUCGGUCCGAGUCAGUCUGAAUCAUCGUUUCUAUGGAAACCACUCUGGCCAAGCCCAGUGAGCUUGUUGGAAGUCCACAUCUAUACCGCUUGAUAGCAAGCUGCAGGAAAUUUGUCAGACAUUUUGAAUUUUUCUUGCAAGACCACGCACUUUUAAAGAGGCAUUUGAUUGGUCAGUUUAUAACUUUGAACAACUUGAACAACAGGAAAAAAAAGAGGAUUAUCAAGAAAAGAUGAAUCUGAGCAAGAAUGGUUAUUCUGACAGAUUGACUGUUUAAACGGAGUUUACAGGAUUUUGGCUUCUUGGAACCAGCAGGUACUUCCUGUUUGGAACACUAGGGGGGAGGGGUUGCUCAGUCCAGUUCUCAUACACAGUCAGUGCUCACUACUCAUGCGAGCGGUGACCAUUUUGUUUGGGUGUCUUAAACUAUUUCCCAGAAGUCUCUGCAAAAAA